GUGUUGAUCGAAUUAUUUUGUCUUGCGUUUUCUGUCCUAGGUUACUGGUGGAUUUCUAGAGGAAUCAAAAGAAGCUCUUGCUAUUGCUGAAACUGAUGCAAGACUUUUUUGCAUGGUUGAUGUGCACCCAACAAGAUGCAAAGUGACUGUUGAUACUCUUCUGAAUGCCAUCCUUAAGUUAUUGAAUGUGUGAGAAUAAGGAUGAAUGGAUACAUUUGUGAUCGAUUCAGGAAUUUGAUGAGAGUGGGGAUCCCGAAAAGCAUUUUCAGUCUCUUCUCUCAUUG